rnacentral:rRNA from 1 species
AACGAACGCUGGCGGCAUGCCUAACACAUGCAAGUCGAACGAGAUCUUCGGGUCUAGUGGCGCACGGGUGCGUAACGCGUGGGAAUCUGCCCUUUGGUUCGGAAUAACAGUUGGAAACGACUGCUAAUACCGGAUGAUGACGAAAGUCCAAAGAUUUAUCGCCAGAGGAUGAGCCCGCGUAGGAUUAGCUAGUUGGUGUGGUAAAGGCGCACCAAGGCGACGAUCCUUAGCUGGUCUGAGAGGAUGAUCAGCCACACUGGGACUGAGACACGGCCUAGCCUCCUACGGGAGGCAGCAGUGGGGAAUAUUGGACAAUGGGCGAAAGCCUGAUCCAGCAAUGCCGCGUGAGUGAUGAAGGCCUUAGGGUUGUAAAGCUCUUUUACCCGGGAUGAUAAUGACAGUACCGGGAGAAUAAGCUCCGGCUAACUCCGUGCCAGCCGCCGCAGUAAAAC